rnacentral:rRNA from 1 species
ACACGUAGGGGGCGAGCGUUGUUCGGAAUCAUUGGGCGUAAAGGGCGUGCAGGCGGUCCUGCAAGUCCGGCGUGAAAGACCCCGGCCCAACCGGGGGGACGCGCUGGAAACUGCGGGGCUUGAGUACAGGAGGGGAUGCCGGAAUUCCAGGUGUAGGGGUGAAAUCUGUAGAUAUCUGGAAGAACACCAAUGGCGAAGGCAGGCAGCUGGCCAUGUACUGACGCUGAGACGCGAAGGUGCGGGGAGCAAACAGGUUUAGAUACCCGGGUAGUCCGCACAGUAAACGAUGUGCACCAGGUGGCGGGGGGUCGACCCUCGGUACCGUAGCUAACGCAUUAAGUGCACCGCCUGGGGAGUAUGCUCGCAAGGGUGAAACUCAAAUGAAUUGACGGGG